GACGAACGCUGGCGGCGUGCUUAACACAUGCAAGUCGAGCGGUAAGGCCCUUUCGGGGGUACACGAGCGGCGAACGGGUGAGUAACACGUGGGUGACCUGCCCUUAGCUCUGGGAUAAGCCUGGGAAACUGGGUCUAAUACCGGAUAUGACUCCAUGACGCAUGUUGUGGGGUGGAAAGCCUUGUGCGGCUAGGGAUGGGCCCGCGGCCUAUCAGCUUGUUGGUGGGGUGANGGCCUACCAAGGCGACGACGGGUAGCCGGCCUGAGAGGGCGACCGGCCACACUGGGACUGAGACACGGCCCAGACUCCUACGGGAGGCAGCAGUGGGGAAUCUUGCGCAAUGGGCGAAAGCCUGACGCAGCGACGCCGCGUGAGGGAUGACGGCCUCGGUGUAAC
rnacentral:rRNA from 1 species